rnacentral:rRNA from 1 species
UGGGGAAUAUUGGACAAUGGGGGAAACCCUGAUCCAGCAAUGCCGCGUGUGUGAAGAAGGCCUGCGGGUUGUAAAGCACUUUCAGUGGGGAGGAGGGUUAUUCGGUUAAGAGCUAGAUAACUGGACGUUACCCACAGAAGAAGCACCGGCUAACUCCGUGCCAGCAGCCGCGGUAAUACGGAGGGUGCAAGCGUUAAUCGGAAUUACUGGGCGUAAAGGGUGCGUAGGUGGUUUGGUAAGUUAGCUGUGAAAUUCCUGGGCUCAACCUGGGGGGGUCAGCUAAAACUGCGAGACUAGAGUGUAGGAGAGGGUAGUGGAAUUUCCGGUGUAGCGGUGAAAUGCGUAGAGAUCGGAAGGAACACCAGUGGCGAAGGCGGCUACCUGGCCUAACACUGACACUGAGGCACGAAAGCGUGGGGAGCAAACA